rnacentral:rRNA from 1 species
ACUCAAAUGAAUUGACGGGGACCCACACAAGCGGUGGAGCAUGGGGUUUAAUUCGAUGGUAAACGAAGAACCUCACCCAGGCUUGACAUCUCGGGAAUCCGGCUGAAAGGUCGGAGUGCCGUAAGGAACCCGAAGACAGGCGAUGCACGGUCGUCGUCAGCUCGUGCCUUGAGGUGUACUGUUAAGUCAGCGAACGAGCGCAACCCUCAUCCUAUGUUGUUUUUUCAUGGGAGACUGCCGCCUCCAAGGCGGAGGAAGGUGGGGAUGACGUCAGAUCAGCGUGUCCUUUAUGCCUGGGGCAACACCCAUGCUACAAUGGCCGGUACAGAGGGAAGCGAACCCGCGAGGGGGAGCCAAUCCCAUCAAACCCGGUCUCAGUUCGGAUUGCAGGCUGCAACUCGCCUGCAUGAAGUUGGAAUCGCUAGUAACCGUGGGUCAGCUACACCACGGUGAAUAUGUUCCUGGGUCUUGUACACACCGCCCGU